rnacentral:rRNA from 1 species
GCAGGCUGCAACUCGCCUGCACGAAGCUGGAAUUGCUAGUAAUCGCGGAUCAGCAAGCCGCGGUGAAUACGUUCCCGGGCCUUGUACACACCGCCCGUCACACCAUGAGAGUCGGGAACACCCGAAGUCCGUAGUCUAACCGCAAGGGGGGCGCGGCCGAAGGUGGGUCCGGUAAUUGGGGGUGAAGUCGUAACAAGGUAAC